CUAAGUAUAAGCACUUUAUACUGUGAAACUGCGAAUGGCUCAUUAAAUCAGUUAUCGUUUAUUUGAUAGUACCUUGCUACAUGGAUACCUGUGGUAAUUCUAGAGCUAAUACAUGCUAAAAACCCCGACUUCAGGAAGGGGUGUAUUUAUUAGAUAAAAAACCAACGCCCUUCGGGGCUCCUUGGUGAAUCAUAAUAACUUAACGAAUCGCAUGGCCUUGCGCCGGCGAUGGUUCAUUCAAAUUUCUGCCCUAUCAACUUUCGAUGGUAGGAUAGUGGCCUACCAUGGUGGCAACGGGUAACGGGGAAUUAGGGUUCGAUUCCGGAGAGGGAGCCUGAGAAACGGCUACCACAUCCAAGGAAGGCAGCAGGCGCGCAAAUUACCCAAUCCCGACACGGGGAGGUAGUGACAAUAAAUACUGAUACGGGGCUCUUUUGGGUCUCGUAAUUGGAAUGAGAACAAUUUAAAUCCCUUAACGAGGAACAAUUGGAGGGCAAGUCUGGUGCCAGCAGCCGCGGUAAUUCCAGCUCCAAUAGCGUAUAUUAAAGUUGUUGCAGUUAAAAAGCUCGUAGUUGAACCUUGGCCCUGGCUGGCCGGUCCGCCUCACCGCGAGUACUGGUCCGGCUGGGGCUUUCCUUCUGGGGAACCUCAUGGCCUUCACUGGCUGUGGGGGGAACCAGGACUUUUACUGUGAAAAAAUUAGAGUGUUCAAAGCAGGCCUUUGCUCGAAUACAUUAGCAUGGAAUAAUAGAAUAGGACGUGCGGUUCUAUUUUGUUGGUUUCUAGGACCGCCGUAAUGAUUAAUAGGGAUAGUCGGGGGCGUCAGUAUUCAGCUGUCAGAGGUGAAAUUCUUGGAUUUGCUGAAGACUAACUACUGCGAAAGCAUUCGCCAAGGAUGUUUUCAUUAAUCAGGGAACGAAAGUAAGGUGAUCGAGAC
rnacentral:rRNA from 1 species